rnacentral:lncRNA from 1 species
CGACUGAAUUCGAAAACGUACGUUUCCUCGUGAGAUCAGGUUCUAUAGUUAUUGUUUUUUAUUAAUAUUAAUGUUAUGUCACUUGCUUAUCAUGAUUUUUUAAAAUAAAUUUAUUACCAUUGGCAACGCAAACAUUUGCCUCAUGUCCGCGUGCGCGCGCCUCCGCUAAACGAUUUCAAACCGAAGGACUCGAGGAUUGGGCCAGAAAGCAGUCCAGAAUGAUCAAAGAUGGAAAAUGAAAGCUCUCCAAGAGCUCGUCAGAUGUGCUGAGUCUGCUUACCCGUGCAAGGCUUCGAGUGCAGAAUGAAUUGGUUCAGAAAGUUUCAUCUGUCAGUCUCCUGUUGGCGUGGAGCCUAAACUUCUCUGAGUACUGUGUGCGUCCUGCGGCCUCGGCUGUCUGAAAUUUGCACCGGGCUGCUGUUUGUAAAGGGCUUUACAGCUGUCAGUCCUCAUGAUGCCUGUCACCUCCUCACACACUCACACACAGGAUUACAGAGCAGGCCUGAAGAUCACGGCCUGAAAGCCAGAUAAAAUGUCCCCCAACGCGGGCCACUUGACUGACUAAGCUGGUUGUCAUCGUCUGAGAGAGAUUCCAGCUCUUGUAAAAACACAGAGCUCAGCCCUUCACUUCAGCACGGUCGCUCCUGUGAUUGUCAGUAAUGGCAGACAGAUAAAUAUCUGAAAGAAGCAUGCUCAUCCAGGUUUUAGCAUGGCCCGUCACCCUGCUGAUGGUGACAACACAUUUUGGAAUUCUGAAGCAUUUCUGGGUAAACCUGUACCUUCAUGUUUCUCUGUUCUGAAAAUUGUGUAAUUGUUUUGAGUUCAAAUGUGAUCUCAGAUUGCACUUUAAUCUGUAGAGACAACUAAAAGUAAACGGUGGUUUCACUAAGUAGAACAUGGGAACGUGGAAACACCUUUAUUGAAUGUAAAACAACUUUGAAUAUGCCAUAUGAUUGAUAACUUGUUUAAAUGUUACAUUUACACAUGGUCCUUUACCAUUUACACACUGAAGAGUAACACACAUCUAAUGUAUCAAAUUGUAUCAAACAUCAAAUAAUAGGAGAGUCAGGUCACCCUUUAUUUUAAUGGUGCAUGUGUUGAAUUUAAGUUACAUUGCAUCUACAUGCUAAAUUAUUCUCAGGAGAUUAUAAGUAAACUGUUAGGGUUAGUGUAAGUUGACAUGUACUUGCAAAGUUUCUUAUAGUCAGUUAAAUGUCUGUUGAAGAACCAGUAUCCACAGAUAUUAUGCAGAC